UAGGGAAUAUUGGGCAAUGGAGGCAACUCUGACCCAGCCAUGCCGCGUGCAGGAAGAAGGCCUUCUGGGUUGUAAACUGCUUUUGGAAGGGAACAAAACGGGCAUGGGUGCCAACUUGAGUGUACCUUCAGAAUAAGCACCGGCUAACUCCGUGCCAGCAGCCGCGGUAAUACGGAGGGUGCAAGCGUUGUCCGGAUUUAUUGGGUUUAAAGGGUGCGUAGGCGGCCAUGUAAGUCAGGGGUGAAAGACGAUUGCUUAACAAUCGCAGUGCCUUUGAUACUGUGUGGCUUGAGUGUAGCUGAGGCAGAUGGAAUGGGUGGUGUAGCGGUGAAAUGCAUAGAUACCAUCCAGAACACCGAUUGCGAAGGCAGUCUGCUAAACUACAACUGACGCUGAGGCACGAAAGCGUGGGGAUCGAACAGG
rnacentral:rRNA from 1 species